rnacentral:tRNA from 1 species
GCCCAGGUGUUGGAAUUGGUAGACAAGCUGGCCUUAGAAGCCAGUGCCUUCGUGGCGUGAGGGUUCAAAUCCCUCUCUGGGCACCA